rnacentral:rRNA from 1 species
AUUGAACGCUGGCGGCAGGCCUAACACAUGCAAGUCGAACGGUAACAGAAAGCAGCUUGCUGCUUUGCUGACGAGUGGCGGACGGGUGAGUAAUGUCUGGGAAACUGCCUGAUGGAGGGGGAUAACUACUGGAAACGGUAGCUAAUACCGCAUAACGUCACAAGACCAAAGAGGGGGACCUUCGGGCCUCUUGCCAUCGGAUGUGCCCAGAUGGGAUUAGCUAGUAGGUGGGGUAACGGCUCACCUAGGCGACGAUCCCUAGCUGGUCUGAGAGGAUGACCAGCCACACUGGAACUGAGACACGGUCCAGACUCCUACGGGAGGCAGCAGUGGGGAAUAUUGCACAAUGGGCGCAAGCCUGAUGCAGCCAUGCCGCGUGUAUGAAGAAGGCCUUCGGGUUGUAAAGUACUUUCAGCGAGGAGGAAGGUGUUGUGGUUAAUAACCACAGCAAUUGACGUUACUCACAGAAGAAGCACCGGCUAACUCCGUGCCAGCCGCCGCGGUAA